rnacentral:misc_RNA from 1 species
GAUGAAGAACGUAGUGAAAUGCGAUAAGUAAUGUGAAUUGCAGAAUUCAGUGAAUCAUCGAAUCUUUGAACGCACAUUGCGCCCGCCAGCACUCUGGCGGGCAUGCCUGUCCGAGCGUCAUUUCAACCCUCAGGGCCCCUUCGGGGGACCUGGCGUUGGGGAUCGGCCCGCCCCCGUGCGGCGCCGUCCCCGAAAUAUAGUGGCGGUCUCGCUGCAGCCUCCCCUGCGUAGUAGCACACCUCGCACUGGAGAGCGGCGCGGCCACGCCGUGAAACCCCCAACUUCUGAAUGUUGACCUCGGAUCAGGUAGGAAUACCCGCUGAACUUAAGCAUAUCAAUAAGCGGAGGA